GACGAACGCUGGCGGCGUGCUUAACACAUGCAAGUCGAACGGUGAAGCACCUUCCUUUUGGUGGGUGUGGAUGAGUGGCGAACGGGUGAGUAACACGUGAGUAACCUGCCCCCUUCUUCUGGAUAACCGCAUGAAAGUGUGGCUAAUACGGGAUAUUCUGUGCCUGCUGCAUGGUGGGUGUGGGAAAGAUGCGCUUUUGGGUGUUUUUGGUGGGGGAUGGGCUCGCGGCCUAUCAGCUUGUUGGUGGGGUGAUGGCCUACCAAGGCGGUGACGGGUAGCCGGCCUGAGAGGGUGGACGGUCUCACUGGGACUGAGACACGGCCCAGACUCCUACGGGAGGCAGCAGUGGGGAAUAUUGCACAAUGGGCGCAAGCCUGAUGCAGCGACGCCGCGUGAGGGAUGGAGGCCUUCGGGUUGUAAACCUCUUUCGCCAGUGAAGCAGGCCUGUCCCUUGUGGGUGGGUUGACGGUAGCUGGAUAAGAAGCGCCGGCUAACUACGUG
rnacentral:rRNA from 1 species